rnacentral:rRNA from 1 species
UAUCUCUGUAGAGUCUGCAUAUCAAUAAGCGGAGGAAAAGAAACUAACUAGGAUUCCCUCAGUAACGGCGAGUGAGGCGGGAAGAGCUCAAAUUUGAAAUCUUCAAGGUUCUACCUUGACGAAUUGUAGUUUAAAGAAGUGUUUUCUGUUGGAGUUUUGGUAAAAGUUCCUUGGAAUAGGGACAUCAUAGUAGGGUGAGAAUCCCGUAUUUGACUUAUUCAUUCUAGCUUCGUGAUACACUUUCAAAGAGUCGGAUUGUUUGGGAAUGCAGUCCAAAAUGGGUGGUAAAUUUCAUCUAAAGCUAAAUAUUGGCGAGAGACCGAUAGCGAACAAGUACCGUGAGGGAAAGAUGAAAAGAACUUUGAAAAGAGAGUUAAACAGUACGUGAAAUUGUCAAAAGGGAAGCGUUUGACACCAGUGUUGUUUUUCCGAAAAUCAAUUACGAAUGGCCUGAUUUUGUGUUGUAUUGACCUUAUCCGCUUUCUUCACUUUUUUCGAGUCUUUCUUAAUGCACUUUUUGGUUAACAAGUCAACAUCAAUUUCUUUUGUUGUAAAAGAGUAUUCGGAAGGUGGCUUUCUUUUCGGAGAAAGUGUUUAUAGCCCUAUACUUCUACAAUCGGAGAGAUUGAGGUCUGCAGCGUAGAUCCUUCGGGGUUAGAUACACUUUGUGCUAAGUUGUAGCUUUUCAUAGACAACUUGUUGACUAUGUUUAGUCAUGCGGCUUACUCGCUUAGUGCUAUUUUACCUACGCUUAGGAUGUUGACGAGACUGUCGAUCUC